rnacentral:lncRNA from 1 species
AUGAACAGACCAGAAAAGUCCAGCGGGUGCGAGGAGGCUCUGCGCGGCCCCGACUGCCGGACGGGAAGAAAAGGCGGCUGGAAAAGCGACAAGCGAGGAAAUGGCUGUAGAAAAACCCGAUGGAUGGCGGAUGGCUCCCACCACGGGCGCGGACCGUCUCUGGGUGACUCGGGCCGGCGAGGAGUUAGGGAGACACCCGGCGGGGGAGAGGAGCAGAGCAGAUCCCAGAACUGGCCACGCCGAUGCAGGAACCCGCCAGGCUGGGCCAGGCCGGCCAGAACCGUCCCUCCGCUUCACACGGGCUCCGCGGCUCCUGGCCAGCUGGUACCCGAGCCACAAAUCCGGGCAGGGAGGAGGCGGAUGAAACUGGAGGAGGAGGAAGUCUGGGGGCUCCAGUGUCAUUGAAGCAACACCAAUUAGACGUCUAUUAUGUGCGCGGCACCGAGCCAGCCCCUGGGGAUGUCCAAGCCCGAGUCUAUGGAAACAUACAGGGAGAGGCCGAAAGACCUCGAUGGGGGGGGGGGGGGGGGGGCUGGGUGGGUGUGUGUGUGUGUGUGUGUCCGGCCGGCCGGGGGGGGCCGGGGGGGGGGGGCUGUGUCUGUGUCUGGGGCCGUGUGGGUGGC